rnacentral:rRNA from 1 species
GGAGGCAGCAGUGGGGAAUAUUGCACAAUGGGCGCAAGCCUGAUGCAGCCAUGCCGCGUGUAUGAAGAAGGCCUUCGGGUUGUAAAGUACUUUCAGUCGUGAGGAAGGGGUGUACGUUAAUAGCGUGCAUCUUUGACGUUAGCGACAGAAGAAGCACCGGCUAACUCCGUGCCAGCAGCCGCGGUAAUACGGAGGGUGCGAGCGUUAAUCGGAAUUACUGGGCGUAAAGCGCAUGCAGGUGGUUCGUUAAGUCAGAUGUGAAAGCCCGGGGCUCAACCUCGGAACUGCAUUUGAAACUGGCGGACUAGAGUACUGUAGAGGGGGGUAGAAUUUCAGGUGUAGCGGUGAAAUGCGUAGAGAUCUGAAGGAAUACCAGUGGCGAAGGCGGCCCCCUGGACAGAUACUGACACUCAGAUGCGAAAGCGUGGGGAGCAAACAGGAUUAGAUACCCUGGUAGUCCACGCCGUAAACGAUGUCUACUUGGAGGUUGUGGCCUUGAGCCGUGGCUUUCGGAGCUAACGCGUUAAGUAGACCGCCUGGGGAGUACGGUCGCAAGAUUAAAACUCAAAUGAAUUGACGGGGGCCCGCACAAGCGGUGGAGCAUGUGGUUUAAUUCGAUGCAACGCGAAGAACCUUACCUACUCUUGACAUCCAGAGAACUAGCAGAGA